UACGUAGGGGGCAAGCGUUGUCCGGAAUUAUUGGGCGUAAAGAGCGCGUAGGCGGUCCGAUAAGUCGGCUGUGAAAGUCAGGGGCUCAACCCUUGAAAGCCGGCCGAUACUGUCGGACUAGAGUCCGGAAGAGGCAAGUGGAAUUCCCGGUGUAGCGGUGAAAUGCGUAGAUAUCGUAAGGAAGACCAGUGGCGAAGGCGGGUCUCUGGACAGUUCCUGACGCUGAGGCACGAAGGCCAGGGGAGCAAACGGG
rnacentral:rRNA from 1 species